rnacentral:rRNA from 1 species
CACGUAGGAUCCAAGCGUUAUCCGGAUUUACUGGGCGUAAAGCGCGUGCAGGUGGUUUGGUAAGUUGGGUGUUAAAUCUUUCGGCUCAACCGAGAGGUGUCGCUCAAGACUCCCAGACUGGAGGACGGUAGAGGUAGGUAGAAUUCCGGGUGUAGUGGUGAAAUGCGUAGAUAUCCGGAGGAAUACCAGUGGCGAAGGCGGCCUACUGGACCGUUCCUGACACUCAGACGCGAAAGCUAGGGGAGCAAACGGGAUUAGAAACCCCGGU